rnacentral:rRNA from 1 species
UACCAGCACCCCGAGUGGUCGGGACGAUUAUUGGGCCUAAAGCAUCCGUAGCCGGUCCUACAAGUCUUCCGUUAAAUCCACCUGCUUAACAGAUGGGCUGCGGAAGAUACUAUAGGGCUAGGAGGCGGGAGAGGCAAGCGGUACUCAGUGGGUAGGGGUAAAAUCCUCUGAUCCAUUGAAGACCACCAGUGGCGGAGGCGGCUUGCCAGAACGCGCUCGACGGUGAGGGAUGAAAGCUGGGGGAGCAAACCGG